rnacentral:rRNA from 1 species
GAUGAACGCUGGCGGCGUGCCUAAUACAUGCAAGUAGAACGCUGAAGCUUGGUGCUUGCACCGAGCGGAUGAGUUGCGAACGGGUGAGUAACGCGUAGGUAACCUGCCUGGUAGCGGGGGAUAACUAUUGGAAACGAUAGCUAAUACCGCAUGACAACAGUUAUUGCAUGAUAACUGUUUAAAAGGGGCAAUUGCUCCACUACCAGAUGGACCUGCGUUGUAUUAGCUAGUUGGUGAGGUAACGGCUCACCAAGGCGACGAUACAUAGCCGACCUGAGAGGGUGAUCGGCCACACUGGGACUGAGACACGGCCCAGACUCCUACGGGAGGCAGCAGUAGGGAAUCUUCGGCAAUGGACGGAAGUCUGACCGAGCAACGCCGCGUGAGUGAAGAAGGUUUUCGGAUCGUAAAGCUCUGUUGUAAGAGAAGAACGAGUGUGAGAGUGGAAAGUUCAC